GUUAAAAAUAACCUUUAAGAAAGGUUAUAUUACUGCUGAGGCCUAGCCAAACCUUUUGGAUGGAAAUCUGCAUCCAUCAUACUCAGAUCUGUCAAAGUAAGUCUGUGAGUGAGUCAUACAUCAAACUUAAUCAUUGGGCCUCAGAAAAUGGACAAGAACUGUAAAACACAUACGACGGGAAUGAUUUGACCUCACUAAUUACGAGGAGGAAGCUCGGCGCAGGUGUCUUCCUGUAGUUAACGGCAAUACUCCUGAGAACUGAGUGCACUGCAAGUUACAGUGUGUUUCUACUCAAAAGACAGUUCACCUUGUGCACCUGUGUCCUGACUCUGCUGGAAAAAAAGAAAACACAAGCUGUGGAGUAGCAACCAUGGCAAGAGGAAAGCCAGAUGUUUAUUUCAACUCUAUGGACCAACUGUUACGAGAAAUCAAAGAUCCAGAUAUGCUGCCUAGUGGAAGAGCUUGCUUAGGAAGGAAGCCAAAUUGAGUGGUGUCUUCUCUCCACUUUCUCCAGUACUAGAUUAAUGGAUAACAUGGCAGCGAAAUAGCAAUUGGAAUGAAGAAAUCUCGUUCAAUAGGGAAGGAGUAGUUUUCUCUUGUUUUGGGUGAUGGAUGGAAGAGUAAGUACCUUUGCAAGUAAAAUGAACCAACUCGUGGAAUGUGAUUCCUUCCUCUUUGAGCUGUCUCCACAAUGGAGGAGAGACUCAGAACAACACUGCUCUGACCAAGAUUUACAAACAAAAAGUUACACUUCGUUACAAGGUUGAACACUGUGAAGUGUUGUUCUGGAGAAAGCGGUUUUUAAUCUGGCUGAACAGGGACAGGGCAGCUUGUUCCACAAGGUUUGGCUGGGCUCAGUCUCCGUUCAUUCUGUGUUUCCCGUGAGUCAGGCACUUUGUCAAGUCAAGGGGAUAAAGAUGAAUGAGAAAUAUCCGUGCUCAAGAGGCAAAUUGUUUCAUCAAAGAAUUGGAACUAGCCACGGCAACGUCUCCAGCAAAUGGAACCAUGUGGUAUGGGUGCUAAGGUGCCGGGUGCACCAGGAUGAAAAGCCCCCCAUCUGGAGGGGCAUCCAAAGAGGGCCGCAGGACUCUCUGGAGGAGGAAAGCUGAGCCACGACUUGAAGCUGAGGAGUAGGUUAAGGCUUAGAGGAAGAGAGCACAAUGGCAAAGACACAGAGCCAAGAACCACAACCUGUGCGAAACUUAUGACCUAAUGAGGGAGAGAGAGAAGUGAAACAAUGAUUACAAUAUAUUUAAAAUUAUAAUACAUUUAUACUAGGGCACUGAAGGAUCUCAGAGAAGUAACUCUGACAUAACAGAUGUUUUCAAAUAUUCUACAUACUAUCUCAUUUAAUAAGUAAACAUUAUUAUAUCAUCAUGGCAAUUGGCAUUUGCUUAAGCAAAUAACAUAGACAAUUGUCAUUAUUUAAAUGAAAAAGAAUUAAAUGUUGAUAACGGUUGAAAUAAAUGUUCAUCUAGAGGUGACCUAUAUGCUAAAGUUUCAAACUUACUUGCUUCUUUGCAACUCAGACAAACGCCUGCUUGCACACAUGCCUAGGAGAUUUAUCUUUGUCACCAAUGUCCCAUCAGACAUUUGAGGAGUUUCAUCAAUGUCAGCCAAGAACCAUUUGUAACAUUGAAUGAGUACAACUUUGAAGCUAUACCUCAUGUAAUUCAGUUUUUGCCGAGCUGGAAAUGUGCACAGGAUAGAUGGCAGAGCUCUAUUAUGGGAUGAACAGGGUGACUGCAAACAGGGCAGGAAAGAAAUUCUCUGAGGACGUCUGGAAGCCAAUUGCCUGCAAUGCAGCACAGCUCUCGGCUGCUAUGAAACAAACGAGGCCAACAAAUCAACCUCAGGAAGAUUAGCCCUGAGCUAACAUCUGCUGCCAAUCCUCCUCUUUUUGCUGAGGAAGACUGGCCCUGAGCUAACAUCCAUGCCCAUCUUCCUCUACUUUAUACGUGGGACGCCUACCACAGCAUGGCUUGCCAAGUGGUGCCAUGUCCACACCUGGGAUCCGAACCUGCGAACCCCACCCCUGGGCCACUGAAGCAGAACAUGUGCACUUAACCGCUGUGCCACUGGGCCGGCCCUGUCAAGAUCUUUAAAACUAUAGAAAUAUCUCCUGGGGUUUCUUUCAUUAAACAAAUAAUAAAACAUUGUGAUGUAAUUAGCACCAUACUUGACGAGUUCCUGUUUGACUUCUCGCUCACUGUGCUUCAUUGGGCUCUUCUUUGAGUGGACCCCCAUACAGACUGAUGAGGUCACAGCAGAAGCAACUCAAAAGCAAUUCUGCAGAGGGCUAUCAUGGUGUCAGUGAGGUUCCGAGAUCUUUACUGAUCCUUUGUCGAUCCACUGCCUUUUUUGUUAAGAAAUAUCUGGAAGAAUGAAU
rnacentral:lncRNA from 1 species